UCUCAAAAGAUGUCAGGGAGAAUUCCAUCCUCCUCUGUUUUAUCUGAAAAACUUCAGGAUCGAAUGUUUGACAGAAUUCUUCGUAAAAACAUCUGAUCAUAAAGUUUUCUCUAUGAGAAUGUUUUUUGAUUAAUUCCUUUUCAUGAGAGAGUGAGAGAUGUGGAGAUCAAAGAUCUGCAGUCAGAGUAUCAGCUAGAGAAGAUCGAUUACUUGGCCACCAUUUGUUGGCAAAAAUGUAACUUCAUGCUCUUCCAGCAGCUCCUGGAGCAGGUGCAGCCACUGAUUCACCGGGACUGUUAAUUUCUGCAACCUGGAGAAGAUUAGGCGCAAAUCCUGCUGGGAUGAGGAUAAUGGCUUCUGGAAGAUUCUAGAGCCCAUCAUCUUAAAAACCAGUCUCCCAGUAGUUUCAACAGGGCCACAGAACAAACCAGGCUACAAAACCUCUGCAGGAGACAACGGCGAACCAUGCAUGCGGGAGCAAGACCCCUAGAAGCUGAUGCUCAGUUGGUCGGACUGUGAAAAUACUGCCAGUAGCUACUUCGGUUCAAGCUGGCCACCCAGACCCUCUGCACAGAGACCCCCGAGGAGCCUCAUGCAUCCAGAGUCGCUGCCAGGCCUGCACAGCUUCUCUGCCCUCCCGCCCCGCUGCAGCUCCGGCCUUUCCACCUCGAAUCCCCCCACAUCCCCUUCUUGGAGGUCACGCAGCAGGAAAAGCAGAAGCGCCUUUGGCGGUGGGCCCCGCAGCUGCCUGCCGCUGCCCUGCCUUUGAGCUUCCCAGACAGCCCGGCCAGGCCUCCCCGCACCCGUGACCAGAGGCUCAAGGAGGUCCAGGCCGGGGCCGCCCUCCAGGCCUCGGUAGUGUUGCCCCUGCUCGCUGCCGCUGCGCCCCGGCGGCGGCUUGUGCGCAGAAACCUCCGCGCUGCCUCGGGGCCUUUGCAGCAUCCGCACAGAGCCAAGCAGCUUCCACGUGGAUCGAACUCGAACUCGGCAUCUUGACUGAACAUUGUGUCCCCGGCAUCCCUGCGCGGGAAGUCUUGGGGCUGGGUCAUGUUUAUUCGUGGGACGCAUGCCACAGCAUGGCUUGAUAAAUGCUGUGUAGGUCUGUGGCUGGGAUCUGAACUGGCGAGGCCUGGGCCACUGAAGCGGAGUGCAUGAACUUAACUGCUACGCCGCCACCAGGGAUCUUCUGAAGAAUGCACUGUCAAGCUGUAUGUGUGUUUUGUGCAGCUCUGAAAUAAAUCUUGGCUUGGUCAUCUAUACCUGUGUGGCCUAGGAUAAUUCUUAUGAGGAGAUAUUGUAUGUGAAGUGGUUAGAAGAAUGCCUGGCACAUAAUAUGCACAGAACAAAUGUUGGAUGUCAGCAUUUUGAAACUGAGGAUGAAGGAGUUGAAGUUUCCUUGGAUUAGGAUAAAACAGCCUGUGCCUACAAAGUGAACGUGGGAAACCAAACCUGCAGGAUGACCACUGAUAAGACAGUAGCUUCCUGACAGCCUCCCACCUCACUAAGCAUCAUGCAGGAGCAAUGAGAAGCUAAAAUGACCAAUUGACUUUGACUGGAUAUUUCUUUACACACUGAAAAUUCAUUCACCCUACUGCCACUUCUCAGGACCUGUGACGGGGAAUGAAAAUCCAAGCUGCCUUUGAGAUAUCACCCUGAAGCUUGGGCUCUAGACCUCCUGCAGCAUCGCCUCUGCUGUAUUCUAUUAGUCAGAGCAAUUUUCGGGGCCACUCCAAAUUUAAGAGGUCAGGAAAUAGACUCCAACUGUUGAUGAGAGGAACUAAAAAUGAUUUGUGGCCGUAUUUAAUCUACCACACUAUCCUAUUCCUGCUAUUAAAAUUCCUUUGGGAUGAUCUUUGAAAAUAAUUUUGUGAAUAAAACAGGGCAAAAUUUUCAAUGAAUUUGUCUAGAAUAAACCAUACAUUGUCAAGUCUGUAGCUCUUGCUGGUUGUAAGCUCUUUAUCCAUGACUCUCACCUUAUUCACAUUUCUAUCCCUUCUAUUUAGUGUAGUUCCUGAGAGAGAGUAUGCAGAAAAGUACUUGUUUUAUGAAUGAUUGAUUAAACCAUAACAUUCUUUCUACAAAAGUCAUAAAAUGUCUAAAACGUAAAUGUUGAAAUCUUAUCUCUACUUCUCGGGCCAAAGGGCCUCCAACAGGCUUACUGUUCUAAAUAAUCCCCAAACAUUAAUAAGUAAGAGCAACUAUAUUCAAAGAGUUUUAUACAUUCAAUUAAGUAUGUUUUAGAUGUUUAAUGUGAUACCACAAAUAAGACGCCCUCAAUUUAGUUGUCUUUCUCAAGGUGGACAAAAUGAUUGUGCACAUUGGGGCACACCACAGAAGAUACUUUUCAAAAGAAAAC
ensembl:lncRNA